rnacentral:rRNA from 1 species
AACGCGAAGAACCUUACCUGGGCUCGAAAUGUUAUGGACCGGAGUGGAAACAUUCCUUCCCCGCAAGGGGCCGUAAUAUAGGUGCUGCAUGGCUGUCGUCAGCUCGUGUCGUGAGAUGUUGGGUUAAGUCCCGCAACGAGCGCAACCCUUACUUCCAGUUGCCAUCAUUUAGUUGGGCACUCUGGCAGAACCGCCUCGGAUAACGGGGAGGAAGGUGGGGAUGACGUCAAGUCCUCAUGGCCUUUAUGUCCAGGGCUACACACGUGCUACAAUGGCCGGUACAAACCGUCGCAAACCCGUGAGGGGGAGCUAAUCGGAAAAAGCCGGCCUCAGUUCGGAUCGCAGUCUGCAACUCGACUGCGUGAAGCUGGAAUCGCUAGUAAUCGCGGAUCAGAACGCCGCGGUGAAUACGUUCCCGGGCCUUGUA